rnacentral:rRNA from 1 species
GAUGAACGCUGGCGGCGUGCCUAAUACAUGCGAGUCGAGCGAACAGACGAGGAGCUUGCUCCUCUGACGUUAGCGGCGGACGGGUGAGUAACACGUGGAUAACCUACCUAUAAGACUGGGAUAACUUCGGGAAACCGGAGCUAAUACCGGAUAAUAUAUUGAACCGCAUGGUUCAAUAGUGAAAGACGGUUUUGCUGUCACUUAUAGAUGGAUCCGCGCCGCAUUAGCUAGUUGGUAAGGUAACGGCUUACCAAGGCAACGAUGCGUAGCCGACCUGAGAGGGUGAUCGGCCACACUGGAACUGAGACACGGUCCAGACUCCUACGGGAGGCAGCAGUAGGGAAUCUUCCGCAAUGGGCGAAAGCCUGACGGAGCAACGCCGCGUGAGUGAUGAAGGUCUUCGGAUCGUAAAACUCUGUUAGUAGGGAAGAACAAAUGUGUAAGUAACUAUGCACGUCUUGACGGUACCUAAUCAGAAAGCCACGGCUAACUACGUG